GCGACCCCAGNUCAGGCGGGACUACCCGCUGAGUUUAA
rnacentral:rRNA from 1 species